AGCUCCCUUCUCUCUCCUCCGGUCCGGUCAGCUCCCCUGCAAGUCUUGCGAGAGCCGCGGGGUCAGAGCGUGGCACUCAGACCGCGAGACUUACAGGGGAGCUGACCGGAGCGGAGGAGAGAGAAGGGAGC